rnacentral:rRNA from 1 species
UACAGAGGUCCCAAGCGUUGUUCGGAUUCAUUGGGCGUAAAGGGUGCGUAGGCGGCGCGGUAAGUCGGGUGUGAAAUCUCGGAGCUUAACUCCGAACUGCAUUCGAUACUGCCGUGCUUGAGGACUGGAGAGGAGACUGGAAUUUACGGUGUAGCGGUGAAAUGCGUAGAUAUCGUAAGGAAGACCAGUGGCGAAGGCGGGUCUCUGGACAGUCCUGACGCUGAGGCACGAAGGCCAGGGAGCAAACGGG